UUCCAGACUCCUACGGGAGGCAGCAGUGGGGGAUAUUGCACAAUGGGGGGAACCCUGAUGCAGCGACGCCGCGUGGGUGAAGAAGUAUUUCGGUAUGUAAAGCCCUAUCGGCAGGGAAGAAUUUAGACGGUACCUGACUAAGAAGCCCCGACUAACUACGUGCCAGCAGCCGCGGUAAUACGUAGGGGGCAAGCGUUAUCCGGAUUCACUGGGUGUAAAGGGAGCGUAGACGGCCAUGCAAGCCUGGAGUGAAAGCCCGGGGCCCAACCCCGGGACUGCUCUGGGAACUGUGCGGCUGGAGUGCGGAAGGGGCAGGCGGAAUUCCUGGUGUAGCGGUGAAAUGCGUAGAUAUCAGGAGGAACACCGGCGGCGAAGGCGGCCUGCUGGACCGCGACUGACGUUGAGGCUCGAAAGCGUGGGGAGCAAACAGGAUUAGAUACCCGCGUAA
rnacentral:rRNA from 1 species